rnacentral:rRNA from 1 species
UACGUAGGUCCCGAGCGUUGUCCGGAUUUAUUGGGCGUAAAGCGAGCGCAGGUGGUUUAUUAAGUCUGGUGUAAAAGGCAGUGGCUCAACCAUUGUAUGCAUUGGAAACUGGUAGACUUGAGUGCAGGAGAGGAGAGUGGAAUUCCAUGUGUAGCGGUGAAAUGCGUAGAUAUAUGGAGGAACACCGGUGGCGAAAGCGGCUCUCUGGCCUGUAGCUGACACUAAGGCUCGAAAGCGUGGGGAGCAAACAGG